CCAGACCCUUGGUCCAUGCUCUACAUUUGAAGUACUAACAGCCUGUGUAUGGAGAUGCCGCACGGUUGCCUUUGGGGUAGACCCUGAUGAGACUGUCCGUGUUUCAUGUCUAAACAACGUGCGGGGCAAACGGGGUUUGCAGUUGCCUUCUGGUUACUAUGGCAAUGCAUUUGCCAACCCAGCUGUAGUUACAAAGGCCGGAGAACUCUGUAACAAUCCACUGGGAUAUGCAGUGAACUUGGUGAAGAAGGCCAAGGCUGAAAUGAGCGAGGAGUACAUAAGAUCAGUAGCAAAUUUUAUGGUAAUUAAAGGGCGGCCCUCCUACACACGUACAGGGAACUUCAUCAUUUCUGAUAACACCCGGGUUGGCUUUCAGGAGAUUGAUUUCGGGUGGGGGAAGCCCUUAUAUGGUGGGCUUGCUAAGGCCAUGUCUAUUAUUAGCUUCUGUCUGCGGUUUAGAAAUAGUAAAGGAGAGGAAGGGGUUGUUGUCCCGAUAUGCUUGCCCCUUCAAGUUAUGGAAAGGUUUGGACAGGAGGUAAAGAGAAUGAUCGCAGAGGAAAUUGCAUCCAAGCUCUAAAUAAAAUAUGAACGUACGUACAUUGAUAUUGUCAGAGUAUUGUUCCUGAGAAAGGGUUUUGAAUUUGAUGGAAGAGAAGAGACCUCAAGUACUCUGUAGUAGAUUUUUGUAAGCCUUCUGGCUUAAAUGGUAGAUAAUCAAUGUGAUGUGUGUGGUAAUCCUGUUGGAUUGCUCAGAAAUUAUCAUCUAUUUCAAACCAAGUCUUUUUGUUUUUUUUCUUUAUUUUCCUAAAACUCCAAUAAACCGUAAAACUCCACUAAACCCUAAUUUGAUUAGGGUUUUGGUCUUAUCAUAGCAGUUGCUCAGUUUUCCCUUCUCUUUUUGGUGAUUGCAACUUUAAAAUUUUCUCUCCUACAGAUUUGCUAAUAGCUUACAAGUGUAAUAGAAUAGAAAGAAAAAAAUUACUGAGAAAAGCUCUGUGGAUUUCAUACAAGAACUUCUAUAUAGAUUGCAACCCUAAGGAUUUGAUUUUGUGGUUAUUAUAUUUGUGGGGACAACCACUUUAGGAGUAUGGAAAAUGCAUUCAAUUAAGACCCUCCUUUGUCUCACAACCUGUCACUUGGCAGGCAGCUUCUUGUACUAUACCAUCAAUCACUCAAAUUGUUACAAAUGCUUUUAAGAAUAUUAGUCAAGCUAGUUCUUUGUAUUUACUUAAUUAUUUGUUAUGUGAUUAUGCUUCUUAUUAUCAUUUUUGUGUCUGAAUAAUCUCACAAUUUAUUAAACCCUGACUUGUUAUGAUGGAAAUUGUCUGAAUUCAAUUAGGAGCUAGGUUCAAAAAGUUAAUUGAAAUAAACUUUGCUCUAUGGUCUUAUCUGAUUUAGGUUACCCUUGUUGUGGCCCAGAAGGGACAAUGGGGGAAGUAAUCAUUGGACGGCCUCUGAUCCGCAUAGGAAUGAGUGAUCCUUCAAUUGAUUUUGUUUUGUUUUGUAUAUAUAUUUGAUCUUUUGGCUGCACACAAUGAUAAAAACAUAGACAAUCAGUCAAGUUUCGGGAAUGCUCCAUCAAUAUAUAUAUUUUCUAGUAUUCAAAUCCGAAAAGUCUUCUUGUUUAUUAAGCAUCAUGAAAUUUCUAACCUUUGGUGUCAAAGCUAUGGCCUAUGGUGGAGAAUUUAUGUUAUUUCUCUUUCUUGGUUUUGAUUCUAUUUUUUGUUUCAAUUAUUUACAUGAAUUUUUACAAGCUUGAAACCAUAGUCAAUAAUCAAUACAAAUGAUGAUAAUUGUUUUACAAAUAAAACGAAACAAAAUAACAAGUUAAUCUAAUUUUAUUAAAGUUGAAUAUAUAUAGACCCAAAGGCAGUGGACAACAUUAAUUAGUUGUUAGUUUAUAAGUAAAUUUCUCUUGUCGGCUCGAGAAAACAAUUGUGAGCUUGCCCUAAAGGAUGGAUUACAUUCAUAGAAUGCUUAUUAACUAGCAUCUUGUGAUGAAAUAGGAUUGUGGCUAAUUUAUUAACUCAUACUAUAGUGGUUUUAAUGAGCAUAUUUCUUUAUCUCGAUAGUGAUACCAACUUUACUAUCCCGGAAAUUAUCUUGUUUACCAUAAUUGAAUGAUUGCAACUUUUCAAAUUGGAAUGAACAAAUUUUUAUUACCUAUGUCACGACAACUUAGAUUUGACCCUUUGAGUUGAGGAACCUCCUUUGCGUCCCAAUGGUAGCACCCUAUGAAAGUUGAGAGCAUUUUGAUUGAAUGAUUUCAUGAUUCUAAAGAAUAAUAUUGCAAAAAAUGUUAUAGGGUUAAUUUCUACUUUCACUAAGAUUAAAGAAUUCCUUGUUUUAGUAGAAUAGUAAGGAGGUGUUGGAUAAAACUUAAUAUUUAUUAUUUAAUGAUUUAAAUUGACUUUAAGUUAAAUUAUACUUAAGUUGUUAACUUAAAACUUGUUACUUAAUUUUUACUUUAAGUAUUAAAGUUGUUUGAUAAAAUUAAUUUAAAAUAUAUUUUAAAUUAUUAAGUUAACAUAUUAAUUAUUUUUAUAAAUUAUCGGUAGAACAAAGGAGGUUGAGUAACAGUGAAGGUCGGGAUUAGUAAAAGAGAUCAUGGAAGUAACUAGGACAAAUAUGAGUAAAAAUGUAAAAUGAAGAUAUGAAUUUAAGAAUAAGUUAAUUAUUUUCAAAUUAUUUUUUAUUUUAAGCCAUACCAUUAAGUAAACACAUUUAAUUUAUUAAGUAACUUUAAGUUAUUAAAUUGAUUUAUCAAACACCCAUUAAUUUGCAUAUAGAAUACAAUUUUAGCAUAGAUGGAUACGAGUUUAUCCUUUUUCCAAAACCAGAACAUAAAAUCAAAAUUUUGCCCACUUUUCCCCAUUUUGUUAAGAACUCACUAACAGAAAUCAUACUGUCAACAUAGAAAAACAAUGAAGAAAUUGUACUUGGACAAUUUGCUGAACCUUCUUGUCUCAUUUUCUGUGAGUAUUCAUCCUUCAGUAAAAGAAGUAGAGGUCAAAUUCUAGCUAGAAACCAGUUACAUUCAAAAUCUCCUAUCCAGGAAUUUCCUAGUAUGUAUCAUCUUUAAAGUAGAGACUCACCUAGUCAUAACAUUAGGUUGGCAUGAAUCACUGAAAAACUUCAUAAGACUUUGUGAAGAACACUUCCAAAGUCCUCUAAUCCAACACUUUUCAAGUGAUGUCUUCUUCAACGCUUCUAUAGACUGCAAUAUUGGUGUAUCCAACACCUUCCAUCUUAUCAAGUAAUUGUUCAGCAUAAAUGCUUUGAUUGGCUGUGAAAACAAUGAUUUCAAACAUCUCUGCUACUCUACUAAAAAAUAUUGGGAGGAAAGGCCUUUGUCGCAUGUAUAUGGUGCGCCUUCCAUCUUGAAGAAGCUGGAAACAUAUUUCAUCUGAAUUCAUCCAUGGCUUUUCAUACAAUUCUGCAGAAUGGAUGUUACUUGUUCCCACAGCAUCUUCAAGAGAGGCAGCAUCUCCUAGACUCUGGAUCAAGGAAGGUGUUAUUCCUGUUACCAUAUCAUGAAAUCCAGCGCUCCCUUCAAUUGGUAAACCAGUGAGAGUGAUGUCAGAGAUAUUGAAAUAAUCAAUAUCACAAGAUUGAUAGCCAGGCGACAUGUUGCUUUCAAUUGCACUGCAUCAGCACAGUCCUUGCAACCUAAUGAUAAGCGAGAUAAAUGUAAACAAAUCAAUAACAACACUAAAACGCCAUAUAUAGAAUUCAGUUCAUGUCCAAAUAUAUUAAAGAAAGGAGAAACUAAGAAAAAGGGAACAGCUAGAGGGGUACGGUAUUGAUUAUCUAAUUGGAAUUGAAUCAUUUAGCUAGGGUUUGAUUGAGUUGUAAGCUGAGUAUGGCCUUGAUGGAUUGGAAUCAGCCAGAGGCUGAGACUAAGGUUAUGUGCUGCCAAUCUUACAGGGUUUAGGGGAGGAUGCACGCAGGUUGAGGACCCUCUUUUAUCCUUGGCCUGCCUUGGUUGACAAGGACUUCAAAUUCCCACAAGGAGAUGGUGAACUAAUGCUAUGCCUACUGCACAAAGGAAAUGAAUUUAUAAAAGAUGAGAUAAAUUGAACAAGACAAAAAUUCGUUAUUUGGAGGGGGCUAGCAGCGCAAAUUCACAAAACAUGUACUUACAGAUUUUGCAAUAUUGAAGAGAUAAUUUCCUAUCCCGUGAUAAAAUAUCUUCGUGCAAUGGGUCAUUUGACCAAGUCUUUAAUAAAUUGUUUUAUGUUGAGUCUUAUAUCUGUUAUGUUGUCUUGGUCUAUAGGAAAUUGUUUAUUGAGUCUCUUUAUUAUCUCCUGAUUUUUGAUGAUGGUGGUAGCAGAUUUAUUGAAACAUGGUUUCAUGGUCCUAUUUUUAUGCCUUUGUUGUUAUGGCUUUGUCAAGCCAGUUAAUUGUAUUGCCUAUUUAUUGGUUGUCUCAGUACAAAUAAAGUGUAGAAUUGUUUCUCUGUUCUGGUUUUACUUUUGCUCAGUUUAUUUUAUCAGUGGUAUCAGAGCCCGGUUAACGUUAAAAAAGUGGGUUAAAACCAGAAAGUGAGAAUUGAGAGUGCCAAAACAGAGAGAGAGAGUUUAUGAGACAGAGAGUCAUAUAGCAGCAGCUUUGUUUAUUUUCUUUCAGCAGCAGAAAAAAAAACAAUGGCCUCUGAAAAUUUUGUGCAACCUGCAAUUCCACGUUUUGAUGGUCACUAUGACUAUUGGAGCAUGUUGAUGGAGAAUUUCUUACGAUCUAAAGAGUACUGGCAAGUAGUCUCUGGAGGGAUAGCAGAACCAGCAACGAACUCACCAAUGACGGAUGCGCAGAAAACAGAGAUUGAAGGACAGAGAUUAAAAGAUCUAAAGGCAAAGAAUCAUUUGUUCCAAGAUAUUGAUCGCUCAAUCUUGGAAACUAUUCUGUGCAAGGACACCUCCCAGCAGAUUUGGGACUCCAUGAAGAAGAAGUACCAGGGAUCAACGAGAACCAAGAGGCAGUAGCUUCAAGCACUUCGAUCUGAGUUCGAAACGCUUCGAAUGAAGCCGGGGGAGUCAGUUUCUGAUUAUUUCUCAAGAACAAUGGCAAUCAUCAACAAAAUGCGAAUUCAUGGCGAGAAGAUGGAGGACGUGACUGUUAUUGAGAAAAUUCUUCUGUCAAUGACGCCAAAAUUUAACUAUGUUGUUUGUUCUAUUGAGGAAUCAAAAGACCUUGAUGAACUAUCAAUUGACGAGUUGCAAGGAUCUUUGUUAGUUCAUGAGCAGAAAAUCAUCCAGGAGGACAAGGAGGAGCAAGCUUUAAAGGCUUUAACUAACAACAAUGCUUUGACAAUGAAUAGAUCAACAGAUCGAGGUAGAGGCAAAGGAAGAGGAGUUCGAGGAGUUAGAGAUGGAGGUAGAGGAAGAGGUGGACGAGGCAAUUUUAGAGUUGAUGAAGAUCAACCAGAUUUCCAAAAUAGAGGUAGAGGCCAAAAUCAACAAUUUGACAAAUCCAAGGUAGAGUGUUUUAGAUGUCAUAAAUUUGGCCAUUACCGUUCUGAAUGUUAUACUAAAUUACCUAACGACAAAGAAAAAGGAGAGAAAUCUAAUUAUGCAGAAAAGAAAGAAGUUGAAACCUUGUUGAUGGCAGCUCAAGUCAAUGAACAACCUCAGGCAAAAGUGUGGUAUGUGGACACAGGCUGCAACAACCACAUGUGUGGUAGUAAGUCUUCUUUUUGUUUUCUAAAUGAAAGUUUUCGUUCUACAGUGAGCUUUGGUGAUUGUUCUACUGUGAAUGUAAUGGGAAAGGGUGAUAUUAAUAUUAGAACCAAGAAUGGUUUUGUAGAAACAAUUUCCAAUGUUUUUUAUGUUCCAGACUUGAAAAGUAAUUUGGUAAGUGCUGGUCAAUUGCGAGAAAAGGGUUACAUAAUAACAAUUCAGAAGGGUGCUUGUGAGAUAUAUGAUCCUUCGAGAGGUGCUAUUGCUGUUGUUCAAAUGGCUUCAAACAGGUUGUUUCCAUUGAAGAUUGAUAGUGUCCAGUCUUUCUUAAUGGCUGAAGUGAAAGAUCUUUCAUGGCUUUGGCAUUUACGCUAUGGCCAUUUGAAUUUUGGUGGAUUAAAAACUCUCCAACAGAAACAUAUGGUGACAGGUCUUCCUCAAAUUUCCAUUCCUUCUCAAGUUUGUGAAGAAUGUGUUGUUGGCAAACAACAUCGUUCUCAAUUCCCUCAAGGAAAGUCGCGAAGAGCAAAGAAUAUCUUGGAACUGGUUCACUCUGACAUUUGCGGUCCAAUUAAUCCAACUUCUAAUGGGGGUAAAAAAUAUCUAAUUAUCUUUAUUGAUGAUUAUAGUCGAAAAACGUGGGUUUCUUUUUUGCAGGAAAAAUCAGAAGCUUUUAGUGCAUUUAAAAGCUUCAAGGCACGCGUUGAAAAAGAAACAGGGAGAUCCAUCAAAAUUCUCCGUACUGAUCGUGGUGGAGAAUAUUGUUCAAAUGAAGUUGAACAUUUUUGUGAUGAUCAAGGCAUACGAAGAGAACUCACAGCUGCUUAUACACCGCAACAGAAUGGUGUAUCGGAGAGAAAAAAUAGAACCAUCCUCAACAUGGUGAGGAGCUUGCUUGCAAGGGGCAAAAUUCCAAAGAGUUUUUGGCCGGAGGCAGUGAAUUGGAGUAUCCAUGUGUUGAACAGAAGUCCUACAUUUUCUAUUCAAAACAUGACACCGGAGGAAGCUUGGAGUGGACGGAAACUAGCUGUAGAUCACUUCAAAAUUUUCGGUUGCAUCGCCUAUGCACAUGUCCCAGACGAGAAAAGGAAGAAACUUGAUGAUAAGGGUGAAAAAUGUGUUUUUCUUGGCGUAAGUGAAGCAUCCAAAGCAUAUAAAUUGUUCAAUCCACUCACGAAGAAGAUUGUGACCAGUAGAGAUGUUAUUUUUGAUGAGGAGAGCACCUGGAAUUGGAAUGGGCAGCAACCUACUCAAGUCAUUUUUGACAAUGAUGCUGAAGAAGAAAGGCAGCAGCUUCUACAACAACAAAUUCCUACGGUUUCUAUACUUGAAAGUCCACCAAAUGAUGCUUCAACAGCCGCUGAAACUUCAUCAACAGCAUUAGAGAGUAAUGUAGUUGCUGAAUCACGACUUCGCCGUGUUCGAAAAAGGCCCACAUGGAUGCAAGAUUUUGAGGUAACUGGAGUUCAAUCUGAUAACUAUGAUACAAUUGCCCAUUAUGCUUUGUUAUCAGAUUGUGAUCCCAUUACAUUCCAAGAAGCUAUCAAGGAUUUAAAGUGGCAUAAGGCUAUGAAUGAGGAGAUCGGGUCCAUAGAGAAAAAUAAUAGUUGGGAGCUAGUUGAACUUCCAAAAAGGCAGAAAUCCAUUGGUGUUAAAUGGGUUUAUAAAACGAAGUUGAACAAAGAUGGUGGAGUUGAUAAGUACAAAGCUCGGCUUGUUGCAAAGAGGUACAAGCAAGAAUUUCGGAGUGGAUUACAAAGAGGUGUUUGCUCUAGUAGCAAAGCUUGACACUAUUCGCUUGGUGUUAUCCAUGGCUGCCCAAAACUCAUAGUCUAUCCAUCAGUUAGAUGUGAAGUCAGCAUUUUUGCAUGGAGAGUUAGAAGAAGAAGUCUAUAUUGAUCAACCCCCUGGGUAUGUGAAGCAAGGUUAUGAGAAUAAGGUAUAUAAGUUAAAGAAAGCACUAUACGGACUGAAACAAGCACCAAGAGCUUGGUACAGUCGUAUAGAUGCUUAUUUUACUGAGGAAGGUUUUAUUAAAUGUCCAUAUGAGCACACUCUUUACACUAAAUAUGGUGUUGAUAAGAAGAUUUUAAUUGUGUGUUUAUAUGUUGAUGAUCUCAUUUAUACUAGUAAUAAUAAAACCAUGCUUGCUGAUUUUAAGAAGUCUAUGAUGAAAGAAUUUGAUAUGACUGAUAUGGGAUUAAUGCACUAUUUUCUUGGCAUUGAGGUAGUGCAAUCAUCUGCUGGUGUUUUCAUUUCUCCAAAGAAAUAUGCUCUAGAGAUUUUGGACAAGUUUAUGUUGAAGGAUUGUAAUUCAGUCAUCACCCCAAGUGAAGUUGGUCUGAAACUCUCAAAGAGUGGAGCAGGAAAGAGGGUGGAUAGUACUCUUUACAAGCAGAUCGUUGGAAGUCUUAUGUAUCUGACAUCUACAAGACCAGACAUUAUGCACGCAGUCAAUUUAAUCAGUAGAUACAUGGAGAAUCCAACUGAAGUUCAUCUUUUGGCUGCAAAAAGAAUUUUUCGCUAUUUGAAAGGUACUGUAGACUUUGGGAUUCUAUACAAAAGGGGUGAAAAAUCAAAUUUGAUUGGUUUUUCAGAUAGUGAUUAUGCUGGAGAUCUUGAUGAUAGAAAGAGCACUUCUGGAGCAGUGUUUAUGUUGAAUUCUAGAGCUAUUACUUGGUCAUCAAAGAAGCAACAGAUUGCGACUUUGUCAACUACGGAAGCUGAGUUCGUUGUUGCAGCAUCAAGCUCAUGUCAAGCUAUUUGGCUGAGAAGGUUACUUGAAGUUUUGUACAACCAGCAGCAAGGUCCAACAGUGAUUUACUGUGAUAACCUCUUUGCAAUAAAACUCUCAAAGAAUCUAGUCUUACAUGGGAGAAGCAAACACAUUGAUGUGAGGUACCACUUCUUGCGUGAUUUAUGUAAAGAUGGAGUUAUUGAUUUGGUGUUUUGCAAAAGUGAAGAUCAAAUUGCAGAUAUCUUGACUAAGCCCCUCAAGCCUGCUGUUUUUAUGAAACUUCGAAGUAUGCUUGGAGUUUGUUCUUCAAAGGAGGUUGUGGCUGCUUCAGGAAAGGCUUUGCAAAUUGAUUCCUAAACUGAUUUCUGCAGAUAUUAGUUUAAGGGAGGGUGAUAAAAUAUCUUCGUGCAAUGGCUCAUUUGACCAAGUCUUUAAUAAAUUGUUUUAUGUUGAGUCUUAUAUCUGUUAUGUUGUCCUGGUCUAUAGGAAAUUGUUUAUUGAGUCUCUUUAUUAUCUCCUGAUUUUUGGUGAUGGUGGCAGCAGAUUUAUUGAAACAUGGUUUCAUGGUCCUAUUUUUAUGCCUUUGUUGUUAUGGCUUUGUCAAGCUAGUUGAUUGUAUUGCCUAUUUAUUGGUUGUCUCAAUACAAAUAAAGUGUGGAAUUGCUUCUCUAUUCUGGUUUUACUUUUGCUCAGUUUAUUUUAUCAUCCCGUGACCCUCAAAUUGAAACCAUCAUCUCAAUAUUUAGCUUCUAUCUCUAGAAAAUCUCCACAUAGUUUUCAAGAUUUUGCAAAAUUGUUUUCCUAAUCAUUUGGAUGAGGGUAAGUGAUCCAUGUGUUAAGAGGAGUUUUCAUGCAUAGGCGCAGAGUAGCAUCCAUGUGCUAAAUGAGGUUAGGACCUCUAGACAAAUCGAUCUCCCUAUACUUCUGGACUCAUUGCUAGGCACACAUGGAUAGUAUCAUAGUUUUAUUUAAAUCAUGCAAACCUCAAUCGACUUAACUUUCAAUACUCAUCAAUGUUGCAUAUUUCCAUUGCUUGGCCAUCUCUAAUUUUUUUUUUUCUACUUUCGGAAUAACAUCCUUUUUGACCACUUUCAUGGCAAAUGACAAACACCACUAGGUUUGCCUCUUAAGAGUAGGAUAAAUCCAACUGGUAGACAUCCUUGAGUGAACAUCUUAUUAAUUGUUUGACCAUGAUCUAACCUUGGAUGUAUUUAAAAGGCUCAACAUUUUAGGUCAAUAUUUCAACUUUCCUAUAAAACAGGUCAAGCUGGUAGAAUGCGAUGGUUUGAAGUUUGAGCAUACUAAUUUCGAUGAGUCUGAUAAGUUCCAAUUUCAUCGUAUUGGUUGUUAAUGUCUUUUUGGACCUUCUAGUUAUUUUUAAUCACUGUAUUCAAAAAAUCAUUCAUGAUUUGUAUUUCUUCCUCUUUUUCCGGUUCUAUAUGUAGGUCUCAAUAAUAACUUUUGAAUCUUGUCCUCUUCCAUUGUUGCACAUUUUGACUAUGAAAUUUGGAAAAUAGAUAUUAAGACACAUUUUUUGAAUGGCCGUCUUAAGAAGAACAUCUACAUGAUGUAAUUAGAGUGAUUCAUAAUGGAAGUCCAAGAGCACCUUGCAUGCAAGCUUCAUGGAGAGAAAGUAUCACCUCAUUAGAGACCGCAUCAACUCAAAACCUAGUUGAUCCCUUUAUGAAGAUCCUUACAAGGAAAGUGUGAGUCUCACAAGGAGGUGCUAAAAAUACAAUGUUGUAGGAAUUGGUUCUAAGUGAAAAUGGGAGUUUAUUUGGAUCAUGUUCCCUUUAUUGCAUAUCUUGGAUAAGUUGUAUUUGUUUUAAUAUAUAAAUAGUAUAUUAAUGUGUCUAAGGUUUGUAUUUCAGACACCAUCGUGCAUAGCACUAGAAAUGUAUAGGAGUGGAUGGUUGUUAGUUCCUUCCAAACUAGAACUUAGUUCACAGUUGUAAAUGGAAAUGAACAAUCUAUUUAGUGAUCAAUUGCAAUUCAUAGUUGCUACAUUUGUUGUGUGGCCUGACACAUUCAUAGAGUUGGUUUAACUAAUAACUUCUGCAUUGAAACUUGGUGUGUUAAACAGGGGUUGUUGACGAGAUAGCUUCACUAAUUGAGUAUCAAAAAGUGUGAAGCUUGAUUAGUCUAUUAGAUAGCAAAUGCUCUAAAUCUUGAAAGGAUUAAUGGGUUUAGCAGUCAUGCAUCAUUAACAUUGAUGCACAUUGAUUUACCCAUGUGUACAAUCCUAAGAUCUAUAAUCAAAGUAUCUUAGGUGUUUAAGGUAUUAAGUUCAUGGUUUAAUUGAUUCAAGUAAUUAAGGAUUCCAUGUAGAAAAUAUGCUCUUAGUUAACUUUAUAUGAAUACAAGAAAAACCUAGGCUUAGUGGAUUCAUCUGAACCAAAUGAAUUGUGAAAACUUUAAUUUCUAUUAUAUUAUUAUUAUUGUUUAUUAUUAUAAAAGGAUGUUAUUUGAUAAAAGGAUUUUGCGCCUUUAAUUUAGGUUUUCAUCAUAUGCAGGUGGCUCAAAGAUAAAAAAGAGUAUAAAUAAUCAAUUAGUAAGUUUGAUAGUCCCAUUAGCUUCCUUGCACUGCCAACUAUAUAUUAUCAGGAAGGAGCAUUCUUGUUAGUUGUCUAACAAGCUUUGGCUCUUAGCAUAAUGUUCCCUAUAUCUUAAAGUCUAGUUAUGACAUUUUAUUAGGAUAUGAUCCUUGUUUAUUAGCCUAAACUAGACCAUAGGGAUUGGUUGGAUCAAUGUUGAUGUGUUUGAUAAGGAGCAAAGUAGUAGGGUGACAAUUGCUUCUCAUGGAUCUUGUGCAUAUAAACUUUAGUUUUGGAAACAAAUUUUAUAAUAUAUGGAAAAAAGGGCCUUGAAGUUAGAUUGGAAAAACUUAAGAUUUGAACUAGAAUAUUGCUUGAGCACCCAACAACACCCGAGCAUUCUUAAGGCAAAUUGAGUGUUGGACCAAUUUUGGGUUCAUGUUGUUUCCAAUAAGUUUCUUUCAUUAUAUUCUUUAGUGUAGGCUUAGUUGGUUCUUUUAAUUAAGUAUAAUUUUAUACAUUAGAAAGUUUAUUAAGAUAUUAGUUAAUUGCUUGCACAAAGAUUGAGUCAAUUAUUAGCUUAGUUCAUAAAUUAAGGUUUUAAUUUAUUGAGAGUUUUAACUUAAAGAAUAUUUAACAACUAAUUCUCACAUAUAGAAAAUAAAUUAAAUAUUUAAAUAUCCUAGUUGGAUUUCCAAACCUUAUUAUAUGAAUAUUCUAAAGUUCUUAUUCAUAAUAUGGAGACAUUUAGAAUAAUAAUAAGAUUAAGAAAGAUAUAUCAUGAACUAGGAUCAUGAGUUCUCUCUUAUAUUCUAUAUAAAGGAAGGAAGUAUGAGGAAGAAAAUAUAAAGAAUAUUUUUAGAAAUUUAAAACCUAACCUUUUCUUUUUUUUUUUUCCCUUCAAAACCUUAGGGUUUGUUUGGUUCCUAUUUUUAAGAAUUGUUUUCUGUUUUGAAAAUAAAAAACACAAAAAAAAAAAAAUUAUUUGGGAAAGAGGGUGUGCUUUUGCUUUUUUUUUUUUUUUUUUUUUUUUUUUUUGUGUUUUUUGUGUUCUCAAAAACCACUUUUUUGAUAACAAUAAAAAAAUGUUUUCAUUGUUCAUUGUUCAAAGAAUAGAUUAUUUUUCGUGUUUUCUCUUUCUUCUUUUUGUGUUUUCUUAAUUGUUUUUUGUGUUUUCACAAAGGUGAGCUUCACCCACUUAUAAACCAUUUCUUCUUCCUUAAAUUAUUGAAAUUAAUAUACUUAUACAUGGUGACAAAGUUGUCAUUUGUUUAAGAAAAUUAUAACUGAUUUAAAAUUUUCAAAAUGGAAUAAUUUUUUUUAAUUUAAAUGAAUUGUGCAUAUAAAAAUUAUUUAUAUAUUUAUAAUAUCAAGUUAAUGAAAGAAAACGCUUUAUUAAUUAAAAAAAUAAAUUUCAAACGUGUUUUUUAUUUUACUUAUUCUAAUUUUUUUUUAAUUAAUUCAAUCAAACAUUUUUUUUAGAACAAAAACUAUUUUCUAGAAUUUAGUUUCUAAACACUUUUUUUUUUUUUUUUUUUUCUGAAAACACAAAAAACUGUUCUAAAAACUGUUUUCCAGAAUAGUUUAAAAAAACAGCAACCAAAUAGGUCAUUAGCCUCUAUAGUCUCCAAAAGCCUUCAUUGUUUUGUUUUUUGGAUUGUUCAUUCCUUUUCAGAAAAGCUACCAUCUUUCUUGAGUACAGCGGCUGUUGGGGAACCAAUAUCCCCAAGUGCCAAAAGACUGAGAAGAACACCAUUGAUGAAUGAUUAGGGUUAAGACGAAUAUAAAGAUCAUGAUUCAGUUUACGUACAUCAAAUCUUAUUUUAAUUUAGAGAUAAUAAGAUAAAAUCUAAACUCUAUUAGUUUUUUGGAAAAAGUUUUUAAUUACUAUGCUACAUGAGAGAUCUUGAUUUAUUUUUAUUUAUUAUUAUUUUUGGAUUAGAAUGAAGGAUUUCUCAUUCGGGUUGUUUUUUAAAUCUAAAGAAGCAAAAAGGUUGAGUUUUUCAAUGUUUUCAAAAUCCUUAAAAACCCUAAAAGGUUAAUCUAGAGUGAAAAUUCUUUUUGGCUCCACCCUCAUGUCCUUCACCUACAUUGGUCCAUACCAUUCCAUGCCCUUAGAUGCAAUCAUCCUUGACCAUACCUAUUUGGAAGAUCUCUAAGGCAUGGAGUUAUUAGUUCUCAUUCUAUCACUUCAUAUAUGCCACGAGGCCAUAGCCAAAUAUUGUUUCCCAAGUUCCAAGGUAGUUUGGUUGCUAGUGUGUCUGAGAUGAGUGCCCCUGGCUGCCCACCUUGAUCAUUAUGGUCAGCUAGAUCGUAGAGCAACAUAUAUGGCUUAUUGAUAUUGUUUUCAACAUCUCUAACUUAUUGAUAUUUUUCUAUGCUAUCUCUUAGGCUAUUGAUUUGUGUUUCAAAGACUAACAACUGUUGUGUAAACCAUUAAUAUGCCAUCUUUUGCAUGCUUUUCAUUAUUGCUAACUUAAUGUCCUUCUCAUUUGAUGUAAUAUGCUCCUUUUACUAAUCAUGAAAGGCUUGCUUAAACUUGCCCCGGGUUCUUUACUUGCCGUGGUUAACAAGAACUUCAAAUUCUCGUAAAGGGAUAAACUAAUUCUAUACGCACAAAUGGUAGCUGAUUAGCCUAGUUAGUGUUUCAAGAGUAGAGGAUCACUAAUAGCUGGUUAUCUCAAUGCGUUGGUAUUGAGAGUGGAGAGACACUAUAGCACUAGACUUGCAUGUGAAUUGUCAUGACCACAUGAUUACAAUAGGUAUAUGAGGAUGAGAUUGGUUAUAUAAUGGCAGAGUUUACUUUUCUGUCUUUAAAUUAUAAUUAUAUGAGAUAUUAGUCUAGGUUAUUAAGUAAAUCAUUUUAUCAUGAACCAAUCAUCCCAGCAAUUGUGCCAUAUGACUACUCAGUGGAUCUAGUGUUCUUUCUAUUUAUUUUGUCUUAGAUAUAUUUGGAUUAAAUUUGGCCUUAAGGCCUAGAUUUUGAUGACCUUAUUGCUUCCAUUAUGAUAUUUUGACUUAACUUAUCAACAAGCUGUCUUCUAAUUUUGUUAGUUGAUCUAUAAUUGGCUUGUUAAUUGAGAUGAUGAUUCCACUUUGGAUUUUACUUCGGAGUAGGUUCAUUGUCUUUCUAGCAGGACCCUUUUGGCUAGGUUGCUACAAUAACACCUAAUUCCAAACCAUCCUCUCAAUAUUCUAACAUGCCCAAAUUAAUCUUAACAAUCUUGUCAAUCUAUACUUUUUCCAAACAAUCUGCUUUGAAAAGUUUCUAUCUUUAUCUUCUUACUAAUCUAUUCCUAAUUAAAUCACUCUCCUACCUAAUUUCUCUCCAUUAAAAUUGUUGCCUACUCCAUAGAAUCGAAAAUAUAAAUUUUCUUUAAAAUCAGCUCUUGGGAAUAUCUCCCACCUUAUUCACUACAAGCAAAUAGUAUUUGCAAUUGGAAUAUUUUUCCUAGGAGUAUUUCCAUGUGUGGGCACCAUAUAUAUAAUUCUAGUCCAUCCUUGGACAAAUUAUCUACCAAGUUGCUGUGCAUGCCUCCUACACUAUUAAAUUAUGGCCUAAACAAGAACCACAAAAAAAAGAAUAAAAAGGAAAUAAAGUAACAAAAAAUGCAUUAACCAAAGCUAUGAUAGAUGACGUCGUUUAAUUUAAGGUAUUACCAAGACAAGGAUAACGAUUAAGAUGGAGCGGGCUUAGUUAGAGAGAUAAACUACUAAUUUAAUUAACACAAUUUCACCCUAGGUAAAAUGCAAAGCUAUGAUAUGAUUUUUAUUUUUUUAUUUUUUAUUUUUAAAAAAUAUUAGGAGGAACUAAAAAUUAUGGACAUGAAACUAGAGAUGAUAUUAGUAUAGAGUCCAUAAAUCAUGAAAAUAUAAACUUCUAGAAUUGUAAUUAUCAUAAUUUUUUUUUUCUUUUUUGACAAUCAUUCUUUAUUUAUAAGGAUAACGCCAAUUAUUUAGGUAAUAAUCUUACUCUUAUCUAAAAAAAUUAUGAUAUGAUUUAUGAGUGUAAUAUCAAAAUAUCUUCCUUUUGCAAAUGGCUACAUUUGAAUAUAAGAGAUGCUUGUCAUCCUCUAGUUUUACGAGUCAUGUGAGUCCACGUGACCAAAACAAUAUUUCAUUUAAAUAAAUUUUAUAAAAUGUGACAAUCUUUGGUUUGCCAAUUUAGAAUAUUGAUAUGGCACAUUAAAGAAAGUAAGGACUUCGAGUAAUUGUGAUUUGUCCAUGAUCAUAAUAAUUUGGAUACAUGGAAAAUGGUGAACAACUCCAAGUAUUAGGAUUAAAAAUAUCCAAUAAACAUUAACAAAAAAUUAAAUUUGCAAGAAAUACCUUUUUCCGACUCCAUUCAUAUCGUUGAGCUUUCUUUCUCGUAAAAACACCUAAAUUACAAAAUUCAAAAUACAAAAUUUGAAUUAUUUCAUUUAAAUAAUAAAGACAUCAAUCAUGGUAUACACAAAAUUGAAUCAAUUUUAGAGAGUGUGUAGUUAAAAACAUAAAAGGAGAAAAAAAAUAUUUAAGAAGAAAGGAAAAUGGAAGCAUUGAAUCAUUAAUAUUAAGACGACAGUGUUCCUACCAUAUGUUACUUCGAUAUUUAUUCCCUCUUUAAGCACUUCAAUUUGCAAUAACUCGACCUCUUGUACUAUACAUCAUUCAUUCUCUCUCCAUAAAUCUAGUUAAUUUAUACAUUAUUCCAUUCUUCUUUCAUUUGAUUGCAAUCUAUUCAUGGGUAGAAAUAUUAUCAUCAUACCUUGUCAUUUGCACAGUUGAAUUCUUGUGAACCAAUUUUUUAAAUUGGAUGUCCCAUUAAUCAUAUAUCUUUCUGUAUUUUGAAGUUGAUGCUCUUAUUUAACCACUUGUUACCAAAAAAAGGCAAAAAGGAAAAAAUGCAAUGUCAAAUUAUUUUAUUUAUAUCAAAUGAAAUACGUAAAUUUGUUAGAAUAGUCCUUCUAAGUGGGCUAAGCAGUUAAUUCUAUUUAGCCUAGGGGAAGUCAGAUGAAGUUUUGGUAAAUCAUUUUAUACUUGUAGUGCAUUAUUGACCAAUCUUCCUCUAAAAUGUUAAAAACUCAAAACAAGUCUCAAGCUAUAAAUUUCAAGUAUUGCAAUCCAUAAAUUAUGAGAAGGUUUCAAAAAUUCUAUGAGAAUAAACAUCUCAUUCACCCAAAAUCGCUCGAGUACUAAAAGGACUAAGCCAAUAUGACUUCAAGCUUAGUGAUCCAACAUUGAUCCAAUAAAAAAAUACCACAUGCAUAUCGUAUACUAUAUUAACCAAUUCAUGGAAAGUAUUACUAAUCUUGCAAUUAAUAUGGAAAAGAAGGAUUUGGAAACAUAAAAGACACAUACCUAGCCUCCAGGUGAAGGUGCCAUUUUCUUGCCUUUAUGUUACCUUUCUCACUAGUUUCUUUUAUGUUUCUGAUGUGGAUCUUGCUUCAACACAAUUGAGCCUUGAAAAAGAGGUUAGACAUUAUUGCUUUUUGAGAUUUGGAGUUGCAACCUAGAACCAUGGUUCUAAAAAUGGAUGAAAAUGAUAAGAAACCCUAAAUAAAAGAGUUAAAUGGUGAUAGGAGGGGAGGGAAGAGGAAUAUUGGGCGCCAUAGUUUGAGAUUAUUAAAGAUUGUUGGAAAUGAUAAGAAACCUAAAUGAAAGUUUUUUUAAAAGAUGUGGGGCUUAUGAAACCCUAAAUGCAAGAGUUAAAUAGUGGUAGGAGGGUAUGAAAGAGGAAUAUUGGGUGCCGCAAUUUGAAACUAUUAAAUAUUGUUGGAGAUGAUAAGAAACCCUACAUGAAAGUUUCUUUUUAAAAGACGUGGGGCUUUUAAAUUGUGGGCAAUUCAGUCUUUUUCUAUUUACGCCACUUUAAAUUUACAUAUAAAAAAUCAUCGUAUAAAAUAGUUAUUAGUUACCUUAUCAAAUAAUGACAAAGAUUGAAAGAAAUAAGAGACAAUAAGUUAUGACAUCUAAUAUGUUGUGGGAAAGUCUCCAAAGAAAAAAAAAAAAGAGCAUAAGGCUGGGUAAUGAAUUUAAUAAUAAAUCAAAAAGUAUAGGAAUACAAUCCUCCCUUAGGGCACUUGCCUAACACCUUUCAAAUCACUUUGCUUCAAGCUUUACAUUCGCCACUUUGCGGAUAUUCCUUGGAGCACUCCAAAGCCGGACCAAAAGCAUUCCUUAGAAUAACUUUGAGGAAACUCAAAUUUCGACUUUGAAAGUAACCAUAAUGUAGAGUUAGUGAGAAUCAAUUUAGAAAAGUGAAUUUCUUUACAUAUAGUUGCUAGAGGACACAUAUGAUCAGUCUUCAUGCACACAAUUUCUUCUUUAGGGAGGAGUGCUUGAGGAUUGUGAGGAUGCUCAUGCAUACUCGUGUGUAAUGCUCUAAAGUAGGGACAUAUAAAGUGUAGUUAUGUGUUUAAAGCAUGUUUCGUAAUCAUUAGGCCUCAAGUCUCGUACACAUACAUAAUACAUCUCUACUCACUUCUCUUUCAUGACUACUCAUUUUCACCUACACAAACUCACAUAUUCUCACUUUGGCUCACAUGUUCUAGUGUUUUGGGUCUCUUUGUUUGAGCAUGCUACUUUGUUUUGCUUGGGAGAACUAUUUUUUAGCCUUUACUUAGCAAACUUCUUCAUUUAACUCAAUUGAUGCACCUUUCCCAAUGCUCAUUUAACUCCUGCAUGUCCAUGCCUUCAUCAACCUUUCCAAAAUUUCUUCCUUGAAAAUAACCUAAAAUCUAUCUUUUUCUUUUUUCUUUUUCCUUACAUUUUCCCCCAAAUUACACACACUAGCUCUAAAAUGGGAUUUAGCGUAUUUUCAAGUUAAAAAGAUGUCAUUAAUACUCAAAAGUAUGAUAAACUCCUUAUUUUAAAGAUGAAAAACACAAUUUUGAGUGUUGAUCAUGGCUUAGACUAAGUUGGCAAUUUUAUUCCAUUAAUGUUACACUAAGUCCGAUGUAUUUUAUCUUCCAAGGUCUUAUAAGUUAUAGUUAACUUCAAAUAGUUUUAGAGUUGAUUUGUAUUGAAGGUAUGUAUACAUUUGAGGUAAUUAGAGCAUAAGGAAUAACUAUGAAAUGAGUAUUAGGUGAAGUUUUAGGGAAAUGUCAAAAAUUGGAGUUGAUUGUACAAUAUUAGAGUGUAGUUAACUCUCUAUAAUGAGAUAUUGAAUUAACUUCAUUAUUGAAUUCUAAGGGAUCUACUAUUUUCCUAUGGGUCCUAGUAGUCUCCACUUGAGCUUUCACUCUUUGGUGCCAUGUUAUUUUGAGAAAUAUUUGAUUUUUUAUUCAUAUGUGUGCAUAAGGGUGUUUUGGUAAAAAAGUAGGGUUGCACAAGAGCUUAUGAAUUGUCUUUUUGGAUUGAACUAAUUAAUUAAUUGUAGUCCAAUACGGCUAAUUAAUUAAUUAUGACCCAGUGAGUUAACUUAAAUUAUCUAAGCCUAAGAUGAACUCAAGUCAAUUAAACUCAUGGGGAAGUUUAUAUAAGGCCUUUUAAGGUUUAGAGUUAGUUACUCUAAUUCACUAUUGUCUUCCAAAGAAAUAAAUUUCCCUAACCUUUAUCCUUCAAGAGAAAAGUCCAAUCUUCUUCAUUGCCAAGUUCCAAGCAAGAGUUAUCAGACAAAAGAUCUCUACGGUUUUGAGAUCAUUUUUUAUUAAUUGGAAAAAGGAGUUGGUAACAUCCAAAUUCGAGGUAUAUGCUUUACGUGUAGGAAUGACUAAGAAAAUCAUUCCAAACCUUAAAUCAAUAGGGUGCAUGCAAAAACUAUCCUAGGGAUACUAGAUCUAUUUCAACGAAAGCAAAUAAAACAAAAAUAGAACUAGGUGAUUAAGAAUAAGCAAUACCUAUGAUCUAGAUGUUCAAAGAUUGAUUCUAAUUAGUGAAGAAGUUGGUGUGAAUCUUGAAUGCUUUGUGAUCUUUCACCAAACGGCUUUUUUCUUAGAUCCUGACAUAUGAGGAUGGUGGAAUCCUCUUUGUAAAUAUGGAGGCUAGGGUUCCUUUCUUUGGAAAACUGAAUGAUUAAGAUAUUAGCCUUAAACCCUUAAGGGGGUUUAUAUUGUCUUAUAUGUGUGGGCUUAAGUGACUUGAGCUUAUCUUAGGUUUGGGUCACUUAAUCUAGCAAUUGGUCCUAAUUAAUUAAUUAACCUUAUUGAGACUUUUAUGAAAAAAAAAAUUAAAUCUAUCAUUGAGACUUUUAGUUCUUGAACUAAAAAUUAAAAGAUUCCAACAACUGUAUAAUGGUUAGGUCAUCUUCAUAGGGAACUUUAGAUUGAUAGUUCUAGAGGUAUGAGUUUUUAGGGUAGGAGCGCUGAUUGGAAGCUUAAGAAAUGAUUUUGUGAAUAGGAGAGAAAGGGAAUUUAAAGACAAAAAAAAAAAAAAAAAAAAAUUAAGAGAGAGGGAAUUCAAAAGUCGUAAAAUUAAAAGAAAGAAAAUUUCAAGAGUGAAGAUUCACUAAGGUUCCUAUUUUCUAGUUUAACUCAUCAAUAUGGCUUUAAACCUAUGCUUGCAGCUUUAGGAUCAAGCUAAGGAUUUACACCUAGGAACGUUCCGAAUUUACAUGAAUUGAAGGUGCUUUAACAAAGAUUUUUCUUAAUCUGUUUGCCCUAUUUUGGAUCCUUACAACCAAGUGGUUUACAUGGGUUCUUUUUUAUGUUAGCAAGCAUGGGAUUAAUUUAUAAAAUCAAUCAUAUUAGAGUUGAGUAUGCUCCUAGGGUUGCUUGACUUAUGACCCUCAUAACCACUGCAUCAUACACUUUUCUCCCCAUGGUCACUUUUUAUGUUUAUUGCAACCAAUGCUGAGGUUAGAUUAUUUUAAGUUAUGCAUACGUAAAAUAUUAGUGACUAGAACUAAGAAAUGGGAAGCCUCAACUCCUUUCACCCCUUAGAGUGUUGAAGACUACUUAUGCAUGCUGAAAUUAAAAAGAAUUGGAAAUAUAACUCUGCAAGCAUAAACUAGAAAGCUAAAGUGAAGUUAAACUAGAUAUGGUUACAAAAGAGAAAAAAAAAAAGAAGAAAGAAAAUGCAAGAUUACAACUAAAGCUAAAAUUUAAACUAGGGAUGGUUACAAAAGUGAAAGAAAAGAAAAUGAAGGAUUAUAACUAAAACUAAAUUACUCGUAUUUCUACUCCUCUUAAGUAUGACUAUCUAACUUAUUCUCUUUUUAUCUUCUCCUUCUACUUGUUUAUUCAUAGUCCUCUUAGGCCAAAAAUCCCCUCUCUAAUUGCUUUAAAGCCACCCAAUUUGGAACUAUUUCAUGCCCAUGGUGAAGCUGAUGAUGUUAGUCCAAUCAUGAUUCUUGAUGUGUUAGCUUGGAGUUGGUUCUUGUACCUUUUUAUUUAUUUUUUAUUUUUUAAAUAAUAAUAUUUGAACCCAAGACAUUGUGCUAAUGAUUAUGGGUGUGCUUAACUUAACUCAAUUCCCACGUUUCUUGAAUUUGAUUUUAUAUUAAAGGUGUUUCUUGAAGAUAGAUCUUUUAUAAUUUAAAAAAAAAUUAGAUUUAUACUAAAGUUUUGUUUAUAAUUCCAUAAAUUCUAAUAUAUAUUAAAUGUGUAUGUUUUAAAUUUUAAUUUGACACCUUCUAUAUAAAAUCAAAUUCAAGAAACACUUUUAAUAUAAAUUAAAAUUUGUGAAAUUAUAUAAAGUGUAUUUUCAAGAGAUAUCUUUAAUAUAUAUUGGAUUUUAUGAAAUUAUGAAAAAUGUCUCUUCAAGAGACACUUUUAGUAUAAAUUCAUUUUUUUUAGAAUUGCAGAAGUUGUCUCUUGAAAAGACAUCUUCAAUAUAAAAUCAAAUUCAAGAGACAUUUGUAAUAUAAAUUAAAAUUUGUGAAAUUAUAAAAAUUGUUUUUUGAAGAAACACCUUUACUUUAUAUUAGAUUAUGUGAAAUUAUAAAUGAUGUCUUUUGAGAAACACUUUUAAUAUAAAUCUAAUUUUUAUGGAAGAGACACCUUAUAUAUAAAAUUAAAUUCAAGACACAUGCGAAUUGGGUUUGCUUUAGAAAAGUUAAAAUAUAAAAUAUAUUUUUUCGACCUCUUCAUCCUGCAUGUACAAAAGUGUCCUAGAAUCAAAAUUAUUUUCCAAUUAACGGUGUUUUAAAAAAAUCGUACAUUUAUCGAAUAUCCUAAUAAUCAGGUUAUUCUCACUUCCUCCUUAUGGUGAACUCUGGAGUUGUUGCCCUUCUCUAUUAUGCUCUUUUCUCUGGUCCCCCUUUUCUUCUUUGCUUCUGCUCUGUUUGUCUGUAAACAUUUCUUGUUUCUUCCCUCUUAAGCCUCUGCCCAGCUAAACCUUCUGAAUCCCCCUACUCACCUCCAACUUUUUUUCUUGCUGCCCGAGCUCACUCUCUCACAGCUCACUCUCACACAUCUCACUCUCUCACAGCUCACUCUCACACAUCUCACUCUCUCACAGCUCACUCUCACACAGCUCACUCUCUCACAGCUCACUCUCACACAGCUCACUCUCUCACAGCUCACUCUCACACAUCUCACUCUCUCACAGCUCACUCUCACACAGCUCACUCUCACAGCUUUUCUUGCUCUCUCACACAGCUCACUCUCACAGUUCAGCUCUCCAUCUCUCUCAAUCUCAAACCAACGUCCCCUGCGUAGCUCCCUCACUCUCUCCCAGUCUCCCAGUUUCUCCCCAAACUGAGCAUACCCCUUCUCCCGCCUCUCUGGCCUUUUCUUUUUUCCUCGUCUCUCUCUUCUGUCUACCCCAAAAGAAGAAGCAAUCACCUCCUGAUACGUGUCCUCACCUGCAGAGAAUCUCUGCUGUACUCAACAAACCACCAUUAUAUCCUUUGCCCCACCUGUCCUCCACCUCCCUCACCGCUCACUCUACGAACAAACUUUUCUACGCAUUAUACAUGGUAUCUUUUAAGCACCACAUAUUGCAUUGGGAAUUUCUAAAACCACGAACCUAAAAGGAUUCACUGAUUUCUUUUUUUACACUAUAAAUAACAGCUCCUUCAGCCACCGAAGCAAAACCACCCAUUAACCCUCCAUUGAUUUGAUCACCUGCAGAUGGCAAUGGUAUCACCGUUAUCAUUCUCGGUGACCCGAUGUGACCCACGGCUUGUCGCGCCUGCAAAACCUACGCGGCGCGAGCUGAAACAACUCUCAGACAUAGAUGACCAAGGAGGGCUUAGCAAAUUUCUUCAUUUAACUCUAUUGAUGCACCUUUCCCAAUACUCAUUUAAAUCCUGUCCGUGCCUUCAUCAACCUUUUUCAAAAUUUCUUCCUUGAAAAUAACCUAAAAUCUGUCUUUUUCUUCCUUUUUUUUUUCCUUACAUUUCCCCCCAAAUUACACACACUAGCUCUAAAAUGGGAUUUAGCGUAUUUUCAAGUUAAAAAGAUGUCAUUAAUACUCAAAAGUAUGAUAAACUCCUUAUUUUAAAGAUGAAAAACACAAUUUUGAGUGUUGAUCAUGGCUUAGACUAAGUUGGCAAUUUUAUUCCAUUAAUGUUACACUAAGUCCGAUGUAUUUUAUCUUCCAAGGUCUUAUAAGUUAUAGUUAACUUCAAAUAGUUUUAGAGUUGAUUUGUAUUGAAGGUAUGUAUACAUUUGAGGUAAUUAGAGCAUAAGGAAUAACUAUGAAAUGAGUAUUAGGUGAAGUUUUAGGGAAAUGUCAAAAAUUGGAGUUGAUUGUACAAUAUUAGAGUGUAGUUAACUCUCUAUAAUGAGAUAUUGAGUUAACUUCAUUAUUGAAUUCUAAGGGAUCUAAUAUUUUCCUAUGGGUCCUAGUAGUCUCCACUUGAGCUUUCACUCUUUGGUAGUAUGUUAUUUUGAGAAAUAUUUGAUUUUUUAUUCAUAUGUGUGCAUAAGGGUGUUUUAGUAAAAAAGUAGGGUUGCAUAAGAGCUUAUGAAUUGUCUUUUUGGAUUGAACUAAUUAAUUAAUUGUAUUCCAAUAGGGAUAAUUAAUUAAUUAGGACCUAGUGAGUUAACUUAAAUUACCUAAGCCUAAGAUGAAUUCAAGUCACUUAAACCCAUGAGGAAGUUUAUAUAAGGCCUUUUAAGGUUUAGAGUUAGACACUCUAAUUCACUAUUGUCUUCCAAAGAAAUAAAAUUCCCUAACCUUUAUCCUUCAAGAGAAAAGUCCAAUCUUCUUCAUUGCCAAGUUCCAAGCAAGAGUUAUCAUACAAAAGAUCUCUAUCUUUUUGAGAUCAUUUUUUAUUAAUUGGAAAAAGGAUUUGGUAACAUCCAAAUUUGAGGUAUAUGCUUUAUGUGUAGGAAUGACUAAGAAAAUCAUUCCAAACCUUAAAUCAAUAGGGUGCAUGCAAAAACAAUCAUAGGGAUACUAGAUCUAUUUCAAUGAAAGCAAAUAAAACAAAAAUAGAACUAGGUGAUUAAGAAUAAGCAAUACCUAUGAUCUAGAUGUUCAAAGAUUGAUUCUAAUUAGUGAAGAAGUUGGCGUGGAUCUCGAAUACUUUGUGAUCUUUCACCAAAUGACUUUUUUCUUAGAUCUUGACAUAUGAGGAUGGUGGAAUCCUCUUUGUAAAGAUGAAGGUUAGGGUUCCUUUCUUUGGAAAACUAAUGAUUAAGAUAUUAGCCUUAAACCCUUAAGGGGGUUUAUAUUGUCUUAUAUGUGUGGGCUUAAGUGACUUGAGCUUAUCUUAGGCUUGGGUCACUUAAUCUAGCAAUUGGGUCCUAAUUAAUUAAUUAACCUUAUUGGGCUCUAAUUCAUGCAUUUUUAGUUUAUAGGUUUUAAACAUGUAAUGACAUUUUAUGAAAAAAAAAAUUAAACCAUAUAUAUCUAUCAUUGAGACUUUUAGUUCUUGAACUAAAAAUUAAAAAAUUCCAACAACUGUAUAAUGGUUAGAUCAUCUUCAUAAGGAACUUUAGAUUGAUAGUUCUAGAGGUAUGAGUUUUUAGGCUAUGAGCGCUAAUUGGAAGCUUAAGAAAUGAUUUUGUGAAUAGGAGAGAAAGGGAAUUUAAAGACAAAAAAAUUGAGAGAGGGAAUUCAAAAGUCGUAAAAUUAAAAGAAACCAAAUUUCAAGAGUGAAGAUUCACUAAGGUUCCUAUUUUCUAGUUUAACUCAUCAAUAUGGCUUUAAACCUAUGCUUGCAGCUUUAGGAUCAAGCUAAGGGUUUACACCUAGGAAGGUUCCAAAUUUACAUGAAUUGAAGGUGCUUUAACAAAGAUUUUUCUUAAUCUGAUUGCCCUAUUUUGGAUCCUCACAACCAAGUGGUUUACAUGGGUUCUUUUUUAUGUUAGCAAGCAUGGGAUUAAUUUAUAAAAUCAAUCAUAUUAGAGUUGAGUAUGCUCCUAGGGUUGCUUGACUUAUGACCCUCAUAACCACUGCAUCAUACACUUUUCUCCCCAUGGUCACUUUUUAUGUUCAUUGCAACCAAUGCUGAGGUUAGAUUAUUUUAAGUUAUGCAUAAGUAAAAUAUUAGUGACUAGAACUAAGAAAUGGGAAGCCUCAACUCCUUUCACCCCUUAGAGUGUUGAAGACUACUUAUGCAUGCUGAAAUUAAAAAGAAUUGGAAAUAUAACUCUGCAAGCAUAAACUAGAAAGCUAAAGUGAAGUUAAACUAGAUAUGGUUACAAAAGAGAAAAAAAAAAAGAAGAAAGAAAAUGCAAGAUUACAACUAAAGCUAAAAUUUAAACUAAGGAUGGUUACAAAAGUGAAAGAAAAGAAAAUGAAGGAUUAUAACUAAAACUAAAUUACUCGUAUUUCUACUCCUCUUAAAGAAUGACUAUCUAACUUAUUCUCUUUUUAUCAUCUCCUUCUACUUGUUUAUUCAUAGUCCUCUUAGGCCAAAAAUCCCCUCUCUCAUUGCUUUAAUGCCACCCAAUUUGGAACUAUUUCAUGCCCAUGGUGAAGCCUGAUGAUGUUAGUCCAGUCAUGAUUCUUGAUGUGUUAGCUUGGAGUUGGUUGUUGUACCUUUUUAUUUAUUUUUUAUUUUUUAUUUUUUAAAUAAUAAUAUUUGAACCCAAGAGAUUGUGCUAAUGAUUAUGGGUGUACUUAACUUUUCUGAUGCGAGCUCAAUUCCCACGUUUCUUGAAUUUGAUUUUAUAUCCAAAGUGUUCUUGAAGAGAGAUCUUUUAUAAUUUUAAAAAAAAUUAGAUUUAUACUAAAGUUUUAUUCUUGAUUCCAUAAAUUUCAAUAUAUAUUAAAUGUGUAUAUUUUAAAUUUUAAUUUGACACAUUUUAUAUAAAAUCAAAUUCAAGAAAUAUUUUUAAUAUAAAUUAAAAUUUAUGAAAUUAUGGAAAGUGCAUUUUCAAGAGAUAUUUUUAAUAUAUAUUAAAUUUUAUGAAAUUGUGAAAAAUAUUUAUUCAAGAGACAUUUUUAGUAUAAAUCCAUUUUUUUUUAAUUGCAGAAGUUGUCUCUUGAAGACACAUCUUCAAUAUAAAAUUAAAUUCAAGAGACAUUUGUAGUAUAAAUUAAAAUUUGUGAAAUUAUAAAGAGUGUUUUUUGAAAAGACACUUUUAAUAUAUAUUAAAUUAUGUGAAAUUAUGAACUAUGCAUUUUAAAGAGACACUUUUAAUAUAAAUUUAAUUUUUUUUUAAAGAGACACCUUUUAUAUAAAAAAUUCACUCCACAUCCUACAUAUCAGAAAGUGCCAUAGAAUCAAAAUUAUUUUUCAAUAUAGGGUAUUUUAAAAAAUAAUUUUAAAAAAAUCUGUACAUUUAUCGAAUAUCCUUAUAAUCAGCUUAUUCUUACUUCCUCCUUAUGGUGAACUCUGGAGUUGUUGCCCUUCUCUAUUAUGCUCUUUCUCUGGUCCCCCUUUUCUUCUUUGCUUCUGCUCUGUUUGUCUGUAAACAUUUCUUGUUUCUUAUCUCUUAAGCCUCCGCCCAGGUAAACCUUUCUGAAUCCCCCUGCUCACCUCCAACUUUUUUUCUUGGUGCCCGAGCUCACUCUCUCACAGUUCAGCUCUCCAUCUCUCUCAAUCUCAAACCAACGUCCCCUGCGUAGCUCCCUCACUCUCUCCCAGUUUCUCCCCAAAAUGAGCAUACCCCUUCUCCCGCCUCUCUGGCCUUUUCUUUUUUCCUCGUCUCUCUCUUCUGUCUACCCCAAAAGAAGAAGCAAUCACCUCCUGAUACGUGUCCUCACUUGCAGAGAAUCUCUGCUGUACUCAACAAACCACCAUUAUAUCCUUUGCCCCACCUAUCCUCCACCUCCCUCACCGCUCACUCUACGAACAAACUUGCUGCCACAGCCUCUCAAAAGAAAAUAUAACAAAUGCUAAAACCUCCACUAGCUGGUCCAAAAAGAGCGAAAAAAAAGUGACCCAAAAUGGGGGUCUACAUGCAUGAUCCUUAAUUAAUAUAAAUAUUGUAAAAAUAUUUAUAUAUAUAUUUUUUGUAAAGAUCCAAAGAAAUUAAAAAUAUUUGCCUGAGUAUGCCAUUCAAUGGCCUUCCAAACGAGUUGAACGAUUGUUGGAAAAGAAUAUUGACUUAUGGGUCGUUAGUUUUAGAGUGCAUGUGGAACAAAUUAUUUCUUGUAGUUAUAGUUCUCCUGGAAUUGAAAACUUCAAAUAUUCCACUCUUUUCUUAGUUGGAAUAGUGACGGCUGCAACCACGUUAUCUUUUUAAGCGCCAGAUAUAUUCGCUGGGAAUUUGUACAACCCUGUCCAGGAAGCAAAACCACCCACAAACCCUCCCUUCAUCUUCCUUUCUUUGUUUCUGAUUUCAUUAUCAAACAGUUGAUCGAUCAGCUGCAGAUGGCAAUGGAAUCACCGAUAUCAUUCUCGGUGACCCGAGGCGAGCCACGGCUUGUUGCGCCUGCAAAACCUACGCCGCGCGAGCUGAAGGAACUCUCAGACAUAGAUGACCAAGAAGGGCUUAGGUUUCAGGUUCCCAUAAUAUUUUUCUAUGGAAACAGUUCUUUAAUGGAUGGAAAAGACCCUGCAAAGGUGAUUCGGGAAGCGCUAGCUAAAGCGCUCAUUUAUUACUACCCGUUUGCGGGUAGGCUUGUAGAAGGGUCUAAUAGGAAGCUCCUGGUGGACUGCACCGGGGAAGGCGUCUUGUUCGUUGAGGCUGAUGCAGACACCACACUGGAGUAUCUGGGCGAUGCCAUUCAGCCGCCUUGUCCAUGUUUUGAGGAGCUUCUAUAUGAUGUUCCUGGCUCGGGAGGGAUCCUUGGUUGCCCUUUGUUGUUAUUUCAGGUCAGAAAUCUUUUAUGGAAAUUGAUAUCUAGAUAUGAUAAUAUCCAGAUAUUUUAGGUUGUGUAUGGUUGUCCUUUGUUGUUAUUUCAGGUCAGAAAUCUUUUAUGAAAAUUAAUAAUAAUAAUAAUAAUAAUAAUAAUAAUAAUAAAGCCAUUGUCCAAAUAAAAAUAAAUAAAAUAAAAUUAAAGUGGGUGAAAGUCAUGAAAGAAAAAAGGGUAAAAAAAGAAAAAAAAGAAAAGGAAGAUGGUAAUAAUAAUAAUAAUAAUAAUAAUAAUAAUAAUAAUAAUAAUAAUAAUAAUAAAGCCAUUGUCAAAAUAAAAAAAAAUAAAAAUUAAAGUGGGUGAAAGCCAUGAAAGAAAAAAGGGUAAAAAAAGAAGAGAAAAGUAAGAUGGUAAUAAUAAUAAUAAUAAUAAUAAUAAUAAUAAUAAUAAUAAUAAUAAUAAUAAUAGGGUAUAAGGAAAAAAAAAAAGAAAAAAGAAAAAAGAAAAAAAGAAAAAGAAAAAAAUUAAAGUGGGUGAAAGCCAUGAAAGAAAAAAGGGUUAAAAAAAAAAAAGAAAAGAAGAGAAAAUGAAGAUGUAAUAAUAAUAAUAAUAGGGUGUAAGGAAAAAGAAAAAGAAAAAAGAAAAAAAAUUGAAAGUAGCAUGAAAGCCCUUGUCCAAAUAAAAAAAAUAAAAUAAAAUUAAAGUGGGUGAAAGCCAUGAAAGAAAAAAGGGUAAAAAAAAACAGAAGAGAAAAGGAUGAUGGUAAUAAUAAUAAUAAUAAUAAUAGGGUAUAAGGAAAAAAAAAAGAAAAAAAAAAAGAAAAAAAAAAUUAAAGUGGGUGAAAGCCAUGAAAGAAGAAAGGGUAAAAAAAAAAAGAGAAAAGGAAGAUAAUAAUAAUAAUAAUAAUAAUAAUAAUAAUAAUAAUAAUAAUAAUAGAGUAUAAGGAAAAAAAGAAAAAAGAAAAUAAGAAAAAGGUAAAAAUUGAAAGUUGCAUGAAAGCCAUUGCCCUUGUUGCAUGAAAUUGAUAUCUAGGUUGUGUAUGGUUGUCCUUUGUUGUUAUUUCAGGUCAGAAAUCUUUUAUGGAAAUUAAUAAUAAUAAUAAUAAUAAAGCCAUUGUCCAAAUAAAAAUAAAUAAAAUAAAAUUAAAGUGGGUGAAAACCAUGAAAGAAAAAAGGGUAAAAAAAGAAAAAAAAGAAAAGGAAGAUGGUAAUAAUAAUAAUAAUAAUAAUAGGGUAUAAGGAAAAUAAAAGAAAAAAGAAAAAAAGAAAAAGAAAAAAAUUAAAGUGGGUGAAAGCCAUGAAAGAAAAAAGGGUUAAAAAAAGAAAAGAAAAGAAGAGAAAAUGAAGAUGUAAUAAUAAUAAUAGGGUGUAAGGAAAAAGAAAAAGAAAAAGGAAAAAAAAUUGAAAGUAGCAUGAAAGCCAUUGUCCAAAUAAAAUAAAAUAAAAUAAAAUUAAAGUGGGUGAAAGCCAUGAAAGAAAAAAUGGUUAAAAAAAGAAAAGAAAAGAAGAGAAAAUGAAGAUGUAAUAAUAAUAAUAAUAGGGUGUAAGGAAAAAGAAAAAGAAAAAAGAAAAAAAAUUGAAAGUAGCAUGAAAGCCAUUGUCCAAAUAAAAUAAAAUAAAAUAAAAUUAAAGUGGGUGAAAGCCAUGAAAGAAAAAAGGAUAAAAAAAAAAAAAGAGAGAGAAAAGGAUGAUGGUAAUAAUAAUAAUAAUAAUAAUAAUAGGGUAUAAGGAAAAAAAAAAAGAAAAAAGAAAAAAAGAAAAAAAAAUUAAAGUGGGUGAAAGCCAUGAAAGAAGAAAGGGUAAAAAGAAAAAAGAAAAUAAGAGAAAAGGAAAAUAGUAAUAAUAAUAAUAAUAAUAAUAAUAAUAAUAGAGUAUAAGGAAAAAAAAAAAGAAAAAAGAAAAUAAGAAAAAGGUAAAAAUUGAAAGUUGUAUGAAAGCCAUUGCCAAAAAAAAAAAAAUAUUAAAGUGGGUGAAAGCCAUGAAAGAAAAAAGGGUAAAAAAAAAAAAAAGAAAAGAAGAGAAAAGGAAGAUGGUAAUAAUAAUAAUAAUAAUAAUAAUAAUAAUAGGGUAUAAGGAAAAAAAAGAAAAAAGAAAAUAAGAAAAAGAAAAAAAAAUGAAAGUAGCAUGAAAGCCAUUGCCCCCACAAAAAAAAAAAAAAAAAAAAAUUAAAGUGGGUGAAAGCCACAAAAGAAAAAUGAGUAAAAACAAAAAAGAAAAAGAAAAAGAGAGAAAUGGAACGCUUAAGAUGACAUAUUUUGUGUUCUUGUACCUAGGCCUUAAAUGAAUAGGUUGAUCCAUAUAGAUUUCCUCAUCUGGUUCUCUAUUGAGAAAUGCAGUCUUCACAUCUAUUUGGAAGAACUCUAAGUCUAAACGCGUGACUAUAGCCAAAAUAAGGUGAAUAAAGGCAAAUCUCACUAUUGGGGAGAAAAUUUCUCUUCAUUAUCUAUACCAUUUCUUUGGGUUUAUCCUUUUGCCACUAAAUGAGCCUUGUAUAUUUUUUUUUUAUUAAACCAUUUGUCUUGCAUUUAAUUUUCAAAACCCAUUUAUUUCCAAUGGUCUUAUACCAAGGCAAAAGAUCAACCAAUUCCCAAACACGAUUCCUUGCCAUAAAACUCAUCUUUUCCCUCAUAGCAACCAUCCAUUCCACUGAUUUAGGUAAAGUCAUAGCUUCUUCAUAAGAAGUAGGUUCAUCAAGGUCUAAUGAAGCACACAUGUAGGAUUCCUUUUUAAUCCCAAAGCGAUAAUGGAGAAUUUGGCCAUGUUUACCUUUACAUAACUUGAGACUUUGUGAAAAGUCAUCUAGUGGUACUCUUCCAUUAUGAGGUAAGUCACUCCUACUAUCUUUGGCAAUUUUAGGAUGGGCUCGUAAUUCCCCACCCUCUUUUAAAGAUUUUGUUGCUUCCUUUUGCAACUCAUAAAUUUCAAGACUGUUUUUUUUACUUCACCAAUACUAGGAAAAUCAUUUUCUAUAAAAUUAACAUUGCAUGACUCUAUUUUUGUCGAUUCUUCAUGGGGAUGUUCAACAUACAAUAUUGUUAGGAAAAUUAAGGUAAUCCAACCUAUGGUAAUCACCCUAGAGGGGGGAGGGGGUGAAUAGGGUGAUGAUCUCUUUUUGCAAAUUUAAACUAUAUGAAUGUAAGAGACAAUUAUAUGCAAGUAUAUAAUAAGCAAUAUAAAGACAAUUGUAUAUAAAUUAAAGAAUAGGGAAGGGAGAAUGCAAACAUAAGAGUUUAUAGUGGUUCGGCGCAACCCGGCUUACAUCCACUCUCCUCUAACUUCAAUCCCAAGCUUGAGGUUCCACUAAUUCAAGGCUUCCAAGCCAAGCCUUUAAGCAAUACAAUUGGAUUAUGGUUCCAAUUCACCCUCUUGGACUUUUGGCUCCAAGCACCCUUUACACUUCUCAAGAGAUACCACACUUUUGAGAGACUUCUUCUCAAAGGUUUACAAAUAAAUGAUCUCACAAAAAUCCUAGCACAAGAGCUUUAAGCUCAAAUGAUACAAGAAAACUAGGAUUGAAAGGUGCACUAAGGAUAUGCAAGUUUUAGAACAAUGGUGCACUCAAAAAUACUCUUCCAAGGCUUAAAUAUAAUCAAGAAAGGUUUGAGUAGGUUAAACUCUUUAAACAAUGAAGAUUGAGGCCUUUUUAAAGAAGAGAAAAGCCAAACUAGUCGUUUGGGGGUUCGAUUGGUUGACUAGCCGUUAGCAUUAAAUGCUUGACAGGUGACCGUUGGGCCUCAACCGGUUGAGGUUCAACCUUGAUCGGUUGAACAAACGUUCUAGAAGAAAGAGAGUUUUUUGCACUCUCGACCGGUAUAGCUGGGGGUCUACUUGGGCCUCGACCAGUUGAGCAGUGGGUCGACCUGGACCUCGACCGGUUGAGCUUGCGGUUGACCGGUUUUUCACCCGAUUCAAUCGGUUGAGCCGUUUUUUUGGCUCAACAACUAACUUUUUCAACUUAAAACCUUUUAAAACAAGUUUGAAAGACAUUUAACACAAGGUUUUAGUUGAAAACAUGAAAUCAUCCAAUUCUUAAAAUAUUUAAAACAAAAUAAAUCUUGGAUGAUUUUGGUGCAUAAGUAAAGAAUGUAAUGCAUGAAAAUCCUAGUGCACCAACAACCUUACAAAGAGUUCUUAUAAAGCUUGGGUCUUGAAAAACACUUCUCUUUGAGGUGGUCUUCUUCUUCAUGAUUUCUCCUUGGCUUGAUUUUUCUUUGUGAUUGCCACUUUGGAAAUCAUCUUGCCUAAUCACACUUGAAAUAUAAUCAUUAGUUCUAAACCUUAUUUUGUUAUCAUCAAAAUCAAGAUUAACCAAACCUUGAUUUCACAAAUAUAUAACCCUUUGAGUAGUAAGAAUAUCUUAUAAAAACAUUCUUAUUUUCUCUAAGGCCUAACUUUCCAUAUAUGUGAGAAGUGUUAUGAACAUAACUUGUACAACCCCAAGGUCGUAAAUUCCCCAAAUUUGGUUUUGCUCCAUUUCAUAACUCGUAUAUAGUUGUAGGGACAAACUUAGAAGGCACUCAAUUAAGGAUGUAGGAAGCAAUUAAGAUAGCAUCCUCCAAAAAGAUAUUGGGAGGUUAGCCUGCGUCAUCAUUGACCUGACCAUGUCUAGUAAAACGCGAUUCCUUCUUUUUGCUAAAUCAAUUUUUUGUGUGGAGUAAUAGGAAUUGUUAACUACCUACGUAUUCCUUUCUACUCACACAGCUUCUGAAACUAGUGAGACAAGUAUUUGCUAUCUCUACCAGUUCAAAGAAUCUUUAAAUUUCUCUCUUUUUGAUUCUCAACCUUUGUCAAAAAGCACUUUAAACAAACUAAUGCUUCAAAGUGAUAUGAGAUUAGAUCCACAUAACCGCAACACGAAUAAUCAUUAAUGAAUGUGAGAAAAUAAGAGGUGUCAUUGUGUGCCUUUAUAUUUAUAGGUCCACAGAUAAGUAGGUUAACAUUGGAAAGAGACACCUUAGAAGGCCUUUUCUAACUAGUCUAGCUAUUUUUUUCUUACUUAUGUGUCCUACAUGCCAAUUCAAAGUAUUAGUAGUAUUAUCACAAGCCACAUAAGAAGAUAAAUAAUCUAAAUCCAACAUAAAUAAAUCAUUAAAUGAAAAAAAAACUUGUCCAUACAUGUCCUUAUUUAAAUAGAAUUUAACCUUUAACCUAACAAAAUGAAAUUUGAAACUCAAUCCAAGUAGUGUUACAACUAAAAGUAGAUGAUAAUGUGCACUUUGUGCAUAUAACACAUUAUGAAAGAGCAAUGUAUGCCCUAAGCAUAAUUUGAGUUGGUAUGUUCCAACUCUUAAAAUAUCCUCCCUUGUUUCUUACCUAGAGUAACGUAAUGUGUUCCAAUUGGUAUCCUUCUCUAAUCUACAAAUCCUACUCGAUCCUUUGUUACAUGUUUUGUUUCUCAUGAGUCUGCACUCUACCUAAGAAGAGAAUGAGUAACUCAUACAUGUUUAAAAACAUGUGAAAAAAGAGAGUUAAGAUUUGGGUGUACCUUCUUUGGCUCAAUGCAUUCAUAAGCAAAGUGACCCAACUUUCCAUAAUUGUAGCAUUUUAUUUUGGCCUGAUCCUUGUUUCUAUCCCACUUACCUCUUCAUUGUUUUUUUUUAUUUCCUUUCUUUGGUCCCAAAUUUCCAAUUGUACCACCAUGUUUUCCUUGUCCCUUACACUUAGGCUCAUUAUCCUAUCGUUGUCCCACAUGGGUGACAAAUGCAAUGUGUUACACCUUAAGCGCUUCACUUCUAACUCUUUGUGGUAAGAAAUAUCAAUAAAAUUUUUGAUGUUCUUAUUAUGCAUGAGCAUAAAUUUCAUUUGCCCCAAUGACUCAAGCAAAGAAUGGAUAAUAACUAUGACUUGUUGCUCAUUAGUUAGGUUAUUACCAACUACCUUUUAAGGCACAAAUUAAAGUUGACAUAAUCCUCAAAUGCUUAGCUAUGAUGUGUUUGGGAUUCAUGACAUAUUGUUCGAACUUCAAAGUGAGCACUCAAAACCUAGUGCAGAUGUCAAACCAUAGGCGAUCUUGAGCUUAUUCUACAUGUCAUGGACAGUGAGGCGAUUCCCAAACUCUCCUAUUAAGUUACUAUGCAUGCUACUCAAUAUAGUGAAAUGUGCACAAUAGUGUCUUUUAACCCAAGAAUAAUAAGCUUCUAUAUCGUGAUGGUGUUGGGUUGAAUUCCUUUCUUUAGGUUGGAUCUUGGUAUUAGUUAAGGUUUCUAAGACCUCUUGUUCAUUUAACAAGUAUUAGAUUUUUCUAUGCCACAUAUCAUAGUUAUUGUUGACUAAUUUUUCUCCUUUAGUCAAAGCAACAUCAAUGCUCUUGGUAGCCAUUUCACUACAUUUAUUGCAUAGAUUAUGACAUUAACAUGUAUUUCUCAAUUUCAAAUUAAUUAACCUAUGAUAUUCUUGUAAACAUAAUGAGAGAAAAUUUCACAAUUCUCAUAAUUUUAAUUUUUAAUUUUAAUUUAUUUUAAAGAUACUAAUAUCCCUUCAAAAAAGAUAUACCAUAAUAGCAAUGAGAUAAUAAUAAUAAUGAAAAAACACAUUCAUCCAUAAGUAAAGUCCAAUUUGAAUAAUAAUGGACAAAACAACUUUCAUAAACAAUUGAUAUGAAAAUAAGAACUACAUGCAUAAAGAAAGUGUAGAAAAAUAAUCCAUAAAUUUAAUAACCUUUAUUACCAAUUUUGUUAAUGAAUAGGGUAUCCCUUGAGUUGAGCUGCACUUUUGUGCCUGCAUGUUUGGGACUAGACUUUUGGAUUAUUUUUGUAUUUGCAAGCCUGGGCCUAUACUUUUGGAUUGGGCCUAUAUUUUUGGACAAUUCAUUUUUAUGUUUGCAUGUUUGGACCUACACUAGCCUCCACUUUUGGAUUGGGUCUAUGUUUUUAGGCAGUUCAUUUUUGUGCUUGAACACCUAGGCCUGUACUUUUGGAUUAGACUUGCACUUUUGGGUAGUCCAUUUUUGUGUUUACAUGCUUGGGCUUGCACUUUUUGGACUUUCAAUUUUUUUUAAUAUUAAAAGUAAUAAUAAAAGAUUUUCAUUUAAUGGAAGAAAAUAUCUAUUUAUUUCAAACAAUUUAAAUAUUAAUAAAAGAUGAAAACAAGUUUUAUUUGAUUCCAUAACAAUGUACAAUAAAAAAUAAAAAUAUAGUCUGAAUAAAAUACCUGUAGAAGGUCACUGUACCUUGAAUUAAAGUCCCUAGUUGUUGGUAGCUUCCUUCUUCAAAGAAAUGACUAAAGAACUUGAUUCUAGAUGUAGAUGGACACUAGAAAGAUCAUGAUUGGUAUAAAAUAGUGGAUAUGGAGAAGCUCAAACAAUUUGAAAAAUGAUUAUUGAACUCACCAAUAAUUGUACGAUUUAUAGGGAAACUUAUUAUUGGAGGAUAAGACUUUCAAACUUAAUGAAAAAUUGUCUUCGUUAUGUUUUCACCAAUUUAAUUCAAAAAAAUAAAAUUUAAAUUUUAUGGAAUCUUAUCUAUUUAUCCAUUUCAUUUUCUUUAACCCGCAUGUGGACGGUAUACAAUGAAUUAAAAAAAAAAUUCAUAUUCUAACACAGAUUAAUCAUGUUUAAUGGUUGUCUUUGUUUAACAUUUGUAGGUGACGCGUCUGAGGUGCGGAGGGUUUGUUCUUGCACUGCGCCUAAACCACACAAUGAGUGAUUCCUUCGGGCUGCUGCAGUUCCUGAAUGCUGUAAGCGAGAUAGCCCAAGGCGCAGAAGUGCCAUCUGUGUUGCCCGUGUGGCAAAGGGAGUUAUUGAAUGCGCGGAAUCCACCAUGUAUAACAUGUAGGCAUUAUGAAUUUGAGGAGGUACACGACACCAAGGGCACACUAGGGGUUAUGGAUGAUGACAAUACGGUCCACCGAUCUUUCUUCUUUGGCCCUAAAGAGAUAAGAUCCCUCAAGAUGCGAAUUCCCCAAGCCCUUGGUCCAUGCACCACAUAUGAGGCACUAGCCGCGUGUGUAUGGAGAUGCCGCACAGUUGCAUUUGGUGUAGACCCUAACGAGUUUGUCCGUUUUUCAAGCGCAAUGAGCAUGCGGGGCAAACGGGGUUUGCAGUUGCCUUCUGGUUACUAUGGCAAUGCAUUUGCCUACCCAGCUGCAAUAGCCAAGGUUGGAGAACUCUGUAAAAAUCCAUUGGGAUAUGCAGUAGAGUUGGUGAAGAAGGUCAAGGCUGAAAUGAGUGAAGAGUACAUAAAAUCACUGGCAGCU
rnacentral:lncRNA from 1 species